UUCUCUGGUGUUGAAGGCCCUGCAAAGCAGCAUCGCGGUGGCGGAGCGUCGUUUGCGACGCCCAACACACAAAACAAGCGGUGAAUGCUUUGGGGUGGGGUGACUGCGUACCUUUUGUAUAAUGGGUCAGCGACUUAUAUUCUGUAGCAAGGUUAACCGAAUAGGGGAGCCGGAGGGAAACCGAGUCUUAAUUGGGCGUUAAGUUGCAGGGUAUAGACCCGAAACCCGGUGAUCUAGCCAUGGGCAGGUUGAAGGUUGGGUAACACUAACUGGAGGACCGAACCGACUAAUGUUGAAAAAUUAGCGGAUGACCUGUGGCUGGGGGUGAAAGGCCAAUCAAACCGGGAGAUAGCUGGUUCUCCCCGAAAGCUAUUUAGGUAGCGCCUCGUGAAUUCAUCUCCGGGGGUAGAGCACUGUUUCGGCUAGGGGGCCAUCCCGGCUUACCAACCCGAUGCAAACUGCGAAUACCGGAGAAUGUUAUCACGGGAGACACACGGCGGGUGCUAACGUCCGUCGUGAAGAGGGAAACAACCCAGACCGCCAGCUAAGGUCCCAAAGUCAUGGUUAAGUGGGAAACGAUGUGGGAAGGCCCAGACAGCCAGGAUGUUGGCUUAGAAGCAGCCAUCAUUUAAAGAAAGCGUAAUAGCUCACUGGUCGAGUCGGCCUGCGCGGAAGAUGUAACGGGGCUAAACCAUGCACCGAAGCUGCGGCAGCGAACGUAUCACCCAAGACAACUUUACGGAGUUGACGAUUGACGGAGCGAAGCGACGUCAAAGCGUUCAUUAAAGUCGAGUUGGCUUAGGGAUACGUUCGUUGGGUAGGGGAGCGUUCUGUAAGCCUGUGAAGGUGUGUCGUGAGGCAUGCUGGAGGUAUCAGAAGUGCGAAUGCUGACAUAAGUAACGAUAAAGCGGGUGAAAAGCCCGCUCGCCGGAAGACCAAGGGUUCCUGUCCAACGUUAAUCGGGGCAGGGUGAGUCGACCCCUAAGGCGAGGCCGAAAGGCGUAGUCGAUGGGAAACGGGUUAAUAUUCCCGUACUUGGUGUUACUGCGAAGGGGGGACGGAGAAGGCUAUGUUGGCCGGGCGACGGUUGUCCCGGUUUAAGCGUGUAGGUGUGUGUUCCAGGUAAAUCCGGUUCACUUUAACACUGAGGCGUGACGACGAGGCACUACGGUGCUGAAGCAACAAAUGCCCUGCUUCCAGGAAAAGCCUCUAAGCAUCAGGUAACACGAAAUCGUACCCCAAACCGACACAGGUGGUCAGGUAGAGAAUACCAAGGCGCUUGAGAGAACUCGGGUGAAGGAACUAGGCAAAAUGGUGCCGUAACUUCGGGAGAAGGCACGCUGACACGUAGGUGAAGUGAUUUACUCAUGGAGCUGAAGUCAGUCGAAGAUACCAGCUGGCUGCAACUGUUUAUUAAAAACACAGCACUGUGCAAACACGAAAGUGGACGUAUACGGUGUGACGCCUGCCCGGUGCCGGAA
rnacentral:rRNA from 1 species